AGCGAACGCUGGCGGCAUGCUUAACACAUGCAAGUCGCGCGGGUGGUUUCGGCCAUCAGCGGCGGACGGGGGAGUAUCGCGUAGGAAUGUAUCCCGAGGUGGGGGACAAGCCUGGGAAACUGGGGCUAAUACCUCAUGGUGCCUGUGGGUCAAAGCCUUAGGGGGCCUUGGGCGCAGCCUGCGUCCGGUUAGGUGGUUGGUGGGGUAAAGGCAUACCAAGCCUGCGAUCGGUAGCUGGUCUGAGAGGACGAGCAGCCACACUGGGACUGAGACACGGCCCCGACUCCUACGGGAGGCAGCAGUGGGGAAUAUUGGACAAUGGGCGCAAGCCUGAUCCAGCAAUGCCGCGUGGGUGAAGAAGGUCUUCGGAUUGUAAAGCCCUUUCGGCGGGGACGAUGAUGACGGUAACCGCAGAAGAAGCCCCGGCUAACUUCGUG
rnacentral:rRNA from 1 species